rnacentral:lncRNA from 1 species
GGUUACGGGUGUCGCGGGAGGCCGAUUGCAAGUGUCGACAAGCAAUCGGAAAGCGAUUCGAGGUGGGUUGUGCUUACCGAAGCGACUAGGUCGCCCUUUAUGUCUAAGAAACAUACAAAUUCAUAUUGAUGCAUGUUAAUAAAAUGACAUAGCUAAUGCAUGUGGACAAUAUGAUGCAAAAUGCUAAGUAGAAUGCAUGAUGAUGUGAUAUAAAUGAUGCUAGUUAAAUGCAUGAGGUAAAUGGCAUUUGCAUGUUAACGUAAAGUAGAGAACAUGCUAGUUGUAAUGCAUAAUGAAUUAAAUGCUAAAAGAGUGCAUGAGAUGCUAAGUAUAUACUACUUUGGAUGAUGAUUAUAUGUAUAUUGACAUAUUAUGUGAUGCUAGUAAUAUAUGUGCAUGAUGACAUAUUGUGAGUUAACAUAUUGUGGAUUAUGUUAAAUAGAAACAUAUACAUGAUGACAUAUAUUGCAUAUGAUAGAAGAAUUAUGCAUGUUGCCAUAUUAUGGAACAUAGUAGAUGAAUUAUGCAUGUUGAACUUGGUCGAUUAGAGAAAUUGACUUUGGAAAACAAGAACAUAUCGAGUGGCAUUAAUGUAGUGUAUUUGACACUAGAGGUUUGGGAACCUAGGGAUAGGUGAAUCCCUUAGAAAAUGCCUUGUGGAUAAAGAACUUAGUAAACCUAAGUACCCUCACAUGGAGAGGUUGUCGAUGAGUUAUUGAGAUAUUGACUCUAGUUGUAGAGCAUCCUCACUUGGAGAGGAUUUGAUUGGGUUGUUGACUCCAGUUGUAGAGCAUCCUCACUUGGAGAGGAUUCGAUUGGGUUGUUGACUCUAGUUGUAGAGCCUCCUCACUUGGAGAGGAUUGGAUUGGGUGUUGACCCUAGUUACAGUGUAUCCUCACUUGGAGAGGAUAGAUCUAGCUCACAGUCUGCGUUUAGGGUGGUAUAGCCAUCCAAUCCCCACAUGGAGGGGAUUGUCGUCGAGUACUCCGGAGUGUCGUGCGACUAGGACCACUUGGAGGUCCGGACCACAUGGAGGUCCGCAGACGGUCCCGGGCUUGGGUGCACUUGGAGCUCCCUCCCCACUUUGGGAUUGAAAGGUGAGUUAUUGGCGAACCCUAGGGCUUCGCUACAGAUUGGGUAAAAGAACAGUGAACAAUGUCAUUGAACAUUAUUAUUCGAACAUGGAUCGAAUUCGUUAGCAUGAUAGUAAACCUUUACUAUUUGAUGCAUGGUAUGAGUUUUAGUUGCAUCCCAGUUGAGUGGAUUUAGGGCUGAGGUGCAUGUGAGACAUCCUUCACCUUGAGCCUGGCUUUGUGCGGUAUUCCGCGUGUGAUUGACUCAAGACCGAGUCGAGUGGAUAGCUUAUAAAAGCAGGUUAAACCCUAUGAGCAGAAUUGUAAUUGACAAGAAUCUAAGAUAGAGGAAAACUUAGAAGUCAAUUGGUUGAACCGUGAAUGACAGGAAUAAAAGUAGUAUCGAUUGAACUACUAGUUGGUUGCAUGGUUGCAUAAACUGCAUGAAUUUCAUAUUGCAUUUUGUGAGGCACAACAUGUAUUUCAAUACUUGAAUAUAUAUAUCUGUUGGAUAUUUGUUGGACUAACAUGUUGCAGGGCCUCCUUAGACCUAUUGGUCGAGCUUUUCCCUUGGGUGGCCGUACCCACUGGGAACCAUGGAGUUGGUUCUCACCCCACGUUGUUUUGGGGUGUUACAGGUUCGCACGUGAGCGGCGCGGCGGCGCAAGGCGAGGGCGUAGCUCCAUAGAUACCGCCCUACCCCAGAGACCAGAGAUAGAGGUACCCCGAGUCGGCAUAGCCUUGGGGUAGAGGGAAAAGAAAAAGAGCAAACUUGUAAUAAUAUUGUGAUCAUUAAUUGUAUUUGGAAGAAAAUGUAAUGUAAUAAUGCUAAUGUGAUGUAAAAAUGAAUCUAAUGAGAAUGCUUGUAAUAAUAUAGGAUGUGUUAUAUUGUUUCAUACCUUCCUUGUGCAAUCUUGCUUGAAUACUGUUCCUGGUUGGAACUUCUUGUAUUUGAAUUGAUUGCGACGCCUAGGACGUACAGGAGAGACUCUGCCCGUUUGGCGGUCUGUCGGCGGCGCCGCGACCCGGCCAAAUAGGCGGGUGGUCGCGGGUCGUGACAGUUCCGAACUGCUUAACUUCUAGAUGAAUAGUAUUUUGGGGGCCUAUAUAUAUAUGUGUGAACUUGCACUCUUUUCUCCUCUGUGCCCAAUCCGAGAGAGACUUGGAGAGCAAGCUUCUUUUCUCUCUCUCUCUCUCUUUGUCUCUAUGAUCUCUCUUUCUCUCUACCAAAAAGAAUUAUUUGGAGGAGAAAAUUGGAGUUGCUUGGUGGUGUAGCAAGCUUGGUGGAGAAGAAGGCUUGGAGUUAAAGCUUCAUCUUCAUCUUCUCCUUCCUUGGUCUAAAAGGAAACUUCAGAGGUAAGCUUUGAUAGCAACAAUGGUGGAUUGCUAAGGAAUGAUUUGUAGACUCUAAAAUUGGAUUUAGAGAAACCCUUAAGUGCUAAAUAGAUGCUAUUUGCUUGAACCAUGAAUCAAUUUGGUGAUUUCUUGCAAUAGUAGCAUGUUAGGGCUCAAAAAGGGGGUUUUGCUAUAUAAGGGGGUUUGAUCUAAAUUGAGCUUAUAUAAACCUAAUUGUUAGGUAUACGAACACGCUGGCGAAGUCGGUUCGGCGAUACGACGAGGCUACGCGAAGAUAUUGAAGAAAAUGCUGAUUUCGGUACAGAUUGCCGCAGCUCGCAGCGUAAGCUUUCAAAAAUCACGAAACCGGAAUCGUAGUAUCGUGACAUCACCUAAAGUCUUGGAGCUAAGAGAGUCGGGGGCACGAAGGGUCGCGUGGAGCUCUCGGUGGGUUUGACCUCACUACAAAUGAGAAAAUCUCAUUUAUGUGGAUUUAAAUAUCGUAAAAUGGAAAAUUACGCAUUUUCAUGAUAGAUGCAUUAUUUGUGAAAUUUAGAAUGCUUGAAAUGCUUAUGUUAUAUACAAUGCAUUUUCGGACCUCUAUGUAGUAGAGAGCUUGUAUGUGAGACUUAUGCAUGGGUUUAGCAUUCUAAUUGGGACUUGGAAUCAUGCUCCAUAUAGUAGACAUGACAAAUGUAAUAUGCCUUGGACAUAAAUCUCAUUUGGACAUAGGAGAAUACAUUAGGCCAUAAAGUGGCUUUGGACUUGAAUAACUUGUGAGUUAGGGAGCUAAUGUCGUAAUGCGACAUCGGGCUUGAGCUAUGAAUGAGCCUAGCAAAGUAAUGCCAUAGAGAGGCAUUAGACUUGAAUGAUAUGUGAAUUGUAUGUGCAUGUUAAUAUUAUGAGAAUUAUGCUAAGUUGGUAGUUGCAUUGGAAAGUGUAUGCAUGUAGCAUUAUGAGAACUAUGCUAUGUUGAUAGUUGCAUACGGACGCAUUGAAACCAUAUGUUAGUGGAUAGAUGCAUGUUAAUAUUUAUAUGCAUUGUGGAAUACAUGCUAGGUACAUAUUAGCAAUGUGAGAUCAUGCUAGAGAGCAUGCGUAUUAACCUAUUAUUGAUAGGGUAAGCUAAUGUCAUAAAGAGGCAUUGGGCUUGGAAUUGGUAUAUUAAGCUAAUGUCAUAAAGCGACAUUGAGCUUGGGACAUGUAUGAACCUAGUAAUUAAUGCCAUAAAGAGGCAUGGAAAUUGGAACAUGCUUGGAUAUAGUAAUGUUCUAGUGCCCUAAAAAGGCACUAGACUUAGUGAAUGUUGGAACUUCACUUGGGGAUAUUAAACUAAACCUAUGAGUUGCUAGUGAUUAUUUCUAUGGUUGAGCCAUGAUGACCGGAUUGUCGUGACCAUGACUAUGCUUGCUCGCUCGUGCGGUAUUGAGAAGCCUACGAGGGCCUGGAGGGUUAGACUCAUUCCUCGAGGAGGAAUGCUGGAGCUACCACUGGCACUUAGGCGGCACAAGCCGGCACUCUGGAGUUAGCCUACACUACUUAUGCUCGCUCGUGCGGUAUUGAGAAGCCUACGGGGGCCUGGAGGGUUAGACUCAUUCCUCGAGGGGUAAUGCUGGAGCUACCACUGGCACUUAGGCGGCACAAGCCGGACUACACUUGUGUAGGUCCUAAAAUAAGAUUGAACAAUGACAUUAAAUCGGUGUAUGACAAUCACUACUGAUAGGCCUAGUAGUUGGUUUACUUGGACAUGCUUUUAGCCUAGUAUUGGACAUUUAGACAUAUAAUAUACGUGAUAGUAUUACUUGUUGCAUCAUAGCAUGCUUGGUAGCCAUGAUAGAACAUAGUAUGUAAGUAUUGGCAUAUUGGAUCAGGAUAGAGUAGAUGUACACCACGUUGACAUCAUGUAUGCUUGUGGCAUAGUAGAAUAGCAUUUCAUUAUAUGCUUUUACUUUCCGCAGUUACUUUUCGUUACUCUCUUACCUGCUCAUAUUUUGGGCCUAGUAGUGCAUUCGGCUAUGGUCAGUAAUUGCCUACUGGGAACUAUAAAUUAUAGUUCUCACGCCCCCCCUGUUUUAUGUUUUCUUUCAUAGUCUUCCACCCCGGGAGAGGCUCGGAAUUGCGGGAAAGGAAUCGCCUCGAGUUAGCUAUCGGGGAAUUCGACGAUAGGUGGUCUACCUCUCUUCUGAGUUUUGUAUAGAGAGGUUGAGAGACUUGUACCGUUUUUGUAGAGACCACUCCCUAUAUGUAGCUUGAGACUUGUGAUGUAUGAUUUUACGUUUUGCCUUAGUUGUUUAGUUUUCCUUGUUUCUACCUGUUGUUAGAACCUAGCUGUAUACUUGCUCUGAUAUCUCUAGAUACACUCUAUUUAUUGUUCAUUUAUUCGCUAUUGUUGUAGACGCCUUAUAUGUGUAGACAUAUGGCGGGUCUGGGCACACACCGGGCGGGCCUAGGCCGGGUCCCGGGGCGUGACAGAUUUAUUUUGCUAUCAGAGUCUAGGAUUGAGUCUUAGUGGACCUAACAAACCUUAGGCCGGUUGGACUAUAGGAAAUAGGCUCAUGAGAAACGAGGUCUAUUUGAUGAGCGAAAGUAUUGUGAUUGGGUAUUGAUAUAACUCUAAAAAGUUAGAGUUUGAUCGGAGUGUAUAGCUUCUAACUUCGCAGAGGAUUACGUUGGCGGCCGACAACGUAACAUCGUGAGUUAGUAGUAAAGGACACUUCAUUACUUUCGCAUGAUUUGGGUAUUGGUUAGUUGAGCGGGGCUGCGUUAGCAUGGGUUGUUUUCACCCGUGCUUGUUAUGUUUGCUGCAGCUUGUGACGUCGGCGACAGACACGAUGGCAGCCGAGGCAACCGAGCCGGGGAAGCCUGCAUCCCCCCGAUCUGGCGAGAUUCGGGAGUUGAGGGAACAGAUGGCCACUUUAGUUGGCGUGGUGAAGUGACAGACGAGUGUGGUGCUACUUCAGGCCGAAGCUUUACGCCGACAGGACGAGGGAAUCAGGCGUUUGGAAAGCCUAUUGAACCAACAGACGGCUGACUUUGGAAAGCCCCAGGAGGGUUUGGAUCAAGCCUUACCCGCGGGGAAAGGCAUGAAGGUUACCGGCGUGGCAAAGGAGACCACCAAGAGCGAUAUAUUGCAUGUCGGCGAGUCGUCGAGGAAGGUAAAGAAGAACCGAUUUCGAGGACGCGGUUCUUUCGCCGGGAGAAGGCCGCCAAGACAUCCCAAGAGCCGGAGCCAGUCGUGAGGACGUGGCUCAUCUGCACUGCAUGGAGGAUCUGAUCGUCGCCAGGCUCCGAGCUGCGUGAUCUGCGGUGGUCGUCAUUACCCGCGGCAGUGCUCGCAGAGUCGGGGCGUGACACCUGGUAACCCGCUAGAGAAGUCAAACCGGCGAGAUGAUCAAACUAAGUUUCGGGCGCGGGUUGCGAAUCGGAGCGGUCGCCCGGAUCCGAAACCCGUUAACCCACUAUCUCGGUCAGACAGGGUACGGUGGUCAACGCAUGUUUCGGGCGCCCGGAAAUUUUCGGUCAACCGAAAACUGCCGUUCGAAAAACAUAAAAUAUUUCCAGCCAAAAGCAAAAUAACAUUCAAAGAAAACUCAGGCAUUUAAAUCAAUCAUUCCUAAUUCUCUUCUAAGUUGAGUGAAUCUAUCCUCACUAAGUGGUUUAGUAAAAAUGUCCGCUAAUUGAUUAUGAGUGUCCACAAAUUCUAUAGUGACAUCUCCUUUUUGAAUAUGAUUUCUAAUAAAAUGAUGUCUAAUUUCAAUGUGUUUAGUUCUAGAAUGUUGAAUAGGAUUUCUAGAUAUAUUGAUGGCACUAGUAUUAUCACAUUUGAUUGAAACUUGUUUUUGAUGCACUCCAAAGUCCUCAAGGGUUUGUUUCAUCCAUAAAACUUGUGCACAACAACAACCCGCCGCGAUAUACUCGGCUUCGGCGAUUGAAAGUGCAACCGAAUUUUGCUUUUUCGAAGACCAUGAGACUAAGGAGUGACCAAGAAAUUGACAAGUCCCACUCGUACUUUUCCGAUCAACUUUGCAUCCGGCAAAGUCGGCAUCCGAAAAGCCAAUAAGAUUAAAAUUAGUGCUUUUAGGAUACCAUAAUCCUAAGUUGAGAGUCCCCUUAACAUAUCUAAGAAUUCUCUUUACGGCCACUAGGUGUGACUCCUUAGGUUGAGCUUGAAACCGAGCACACAACCAAACACUAAACAUAAUGUCCGGCCUACUUGCGGUAAGAUAAAGUAAACUGCCAAUCAUACCUUGGUAGAUAUCAUGUGGUAGCAAAUAUUUAUGCUCAUUUACUUGUCGUAUUUCUCGCUUUAUCUAUCUAUAUGCACUUACCCUCUUUUGUUCAGCUUUUGGGCCUAGUGGCGUAAUGCACUGAAGUCGGUAAUUGCCCACUGAAAACUAUUAUUUAAUAGUUCUCACGCCCCUAUUUUAUGAUUUCUUUCAGAGCCUUCGGCACCGGCGGAGGCACGGGAUCGCGGCAAGGGAGUCGCGUAGCUAGCUAGCGGGGAGCUCGUUUUUGCUCUUAGAUAGAGACCACCUAUGUACCUUAUUUAGCUCUUGUAUUCGGAUUUUCAGAUGUACUACUUUAUAUUUUUACAUAAUGGAUUUAGCUUUAUGUUCCUUUUCCUUUUGUAGCUUCGAGAUACACUUUGCUUUGAUACAUCUAGAUGUUCUCCUUCUUAUUGCCUUAUUUAUCGUUUUGUUUUAGACGCCUUGUAUGUUUAGACAUAUGGCGGGUCUGGGCACGUGCCGGGCGGGCUUGCGCUCGGUCCCGCGGCGUGACAGAUUAAUUUGGUAUCAGAGCCUAGAGUUGAGUCUUAGUAGACCUAGCAAACCUUAGGCUGGUUGGACAAUAGAAAAUAGGCUCGUGAGAGACGAGGUCUAUUCGACUUGUGAACAAAAGUAUCAUGAUUGGGUAUCUUGAUAACUCUAAAAAGUUAGUGUUGAAUCGAAGUGUAUGGCUUCUAACUUCGCGAAGGAUUACGUUGGCGGCCGACAACGUAACAUCGGGAGUUAGUAGUGAAGCUUACUUCCUUACUUUCGCCUGAUUUGGGUAUUAUCUUUUGAGCAGGGACUCGAUAGCAUGGGUUACUAACUUACGCUUUUAUGAUGUUGUAGUGACGAUGCCGAUUACACGCUCCCAAUCUGUCGAAGCGUAUAAUGCGGCAAACUUGGAGGAGGUUGAGACCUCCGCUACCUCUGGAUCUGGCGAGGUCCGUGAGUUGAUGGGCCAGCUUGCGGCCCUCACUGAUAUGGUGGCACAGCAGACGGAGGCAGCGCGCCGACAGGAGGCGCGGAUGAAGCGCUUGGAGGACCUUCUGAUGCAGCAGGCGGCAGCUUCCAAGGAGACUCAGGCCUCUACACCGCCAGCACCAGUUGUGGAUGUUGCGCCGAGAACGCCGUCCCCCGUGCCCAGUUCUUCGCGUGCGGCGCUUGUGGCCGCACCCCAGGAGGAGGCUUUGGCGGCACCACCUAUCCAGGUGCCCCCGGUUGGAGCAGCAUUCCCUACCUUGGUCGAGGGAGCGGAGCAGGACCGACUCAUGGAGCGCCUCAACGAGUUCAGGAGGUGUAGUCCUCGGGUCUUCGAUGGAGAGAAGGUCGACCAUUGGAUCAUGGAAAAGUGGUUGAUGUAUAUGGAGAAGCUCUUCGGCGACACCUUCGUGGAAGAGAGAGAUCGAGUUUGGCUCGCCACUCAUCACCUAGACGGCGAGGCCUAUCGCUGGUGGUUGGAUCUUCAGGAGAACCCCAGCACCGACUUGGCGGCCAUUACUUGGAAGAAGUUCAAGGAGCUUCUGUUGGCGCACUACUUCCCAACCAAUGUCAAGAGGAAGAUGGAGCAGGACUUUCGCAACUUGCGCCAAGGAGACCGGACUGUAGCCGAGUACGAGAGGGAGUUUUCUCGGCUUCUACACUGCUUGCCUUUCGUUGUGCGGGACGACGAGGACAAGGCACGCAUUUUCGAGCGAGGGUUGCGGCCGUCGAUCUUCCGAUUUGUGCAAUCCUCUAACCUCCAAAGCUACCAGGAAGUGGUGGAUCGCACGCUCAUCGUGAAGAGCGACGCGGCUGAUGUCCAGGAGCGGUGAGAGGCGAAGGACAAGGAUAAGGCCAAGAGGCCUGCGGCUGAGUGUGCGAGCCAGACGCACUCUAGGAGGCCGCCUAAGCAUCCUAGGAGCCAGCAGCGUGGAUGUGGCUCAGCAGCGCAGCGAGGAGGUUCUGACCGUCGCCAGCCUUCCCCGUGUGUGAUCUGCGGUGGUCCUCAUUACCUACCGUAGUGUCCGCAGCGGGCGAGCAGGUGCUUCCAGUGUGGCCAGGAGGGCCACGUUCGGACUGAGUGCCCGAGAGGUUCGUCACCGGCACUGUCGACUGCAUCGGCACCGGCUCUACCAGCCGCUAGCCACGGGACUCCAUCAACACAGUUCCAGCCUGGGCGGCCACCCGUCCAACGUCAGCGCGAGGGAUCUCGUCAGGCCCCGAGUGGGCAUAUGUAUGCCGCUCAGACUGAGGAAGCGGCAGCAGCCGAGGAUGUGGUUGCAGGUAUCAUUUUACUUGAUGGCAUUAGAGUUUGUGCAUUAUUUGAUACCGGUGCAUCACAUUCAUUUAUUGAUCAGCUGUUUGCCGAGUUGCAUGGCAUCCUAGUGGUUUCCUUGUUGCAUCCGGAACGUGUAGUUGUUCCCGACCACUCUUUGGAUAUUAGAAAGUAUUGCCCUUGUUGCCUUGUGUGGGUAGCAGAGUGGAUUAUGCCCGUGGACUUGCUAGCUUUGCGCAAGCUAGGGGAUUUCGAUGUGGUCUUGGGUAUGGAUUGGUUGACCAAGUACUAUGCCACAAUCGAUUGUAAGAAUCGCGCAGUUACCUUUAGAGAACGGGGGCAGAUUGAGGUUGUGUUUAGAGGAUGCCGGAGUUCGCUUUUUGCGAUGACGAUCAGCUCGUCUCGAGCUAGGCAGUUUGUCACGUCCCGUUAUCGCCAAUUUGGUAGAUCCGGGCCCGCGCACAGACGCCGAACGAACAGCACCUCCUCUGUUCGCCCAAGGCUCAACAACAACGAGUACAUGUAUAAAGAAAUAAAUAAUUCCCAGGAUCACAUUUCCAUAUACAUGGCUUGCACGAAGGCAAGCAACAACCACAAGUGAUAGUAAACUAACUGUAUAAUGAAAUUCACUGUAAUUUAAAAUUUUACACAACUGAACUUGUAACUGAAAUAUUUAGUUAUAUACAUGCUUUUUAUACAUUCAUUUACAUGUCUCUGUACAUCAAAAUGGAUGAUACAUGAACUCAAAAUGGUAAUUGCUAAACUCUGGUGUCAGCUAGCUAAGCUGCAGGGCCCUUGCCACGAUCCUCGGCCUCAAAACUCGCACUGGAACCUGUAUGGUUAGUGGUGUGAGAACUACAAGAAAGUUCCCAGUGGGUUCGGCUGCCGACUUCGCCGACUCACCCACUAGGUCUACUCAGGCAUAUGUAGGCAAGAAAAGUAAGCAGAUAGUAACCAACUAUAACAUGUAACUACUACAAUGCCUGUACAAAGCUGAAAGAAGUAACAGAUAUAAAAACUGUAAAUAUGCAUGCAUGCUUUUCAUUAACUUUACCCAAUCUUUUGGUUAACCCUCUGGUUAACAGCUGGACAAGUACGUUAGUCCUGGGGCAAGUACGUUAGCCCAUAAAUUUACCCAAUUCAGUGGUUAACCCUUUGGUUAACAAUAACUCACCAACGAAAUCCCUCACGGGCCCUAAGCUGCCUCCCGAUGGGACCGUCUGUCGGACAAGUACGUUAGUCCUGGGGCAAGUACGUUAGCCCAACAAGUGACUACUCCGGAGCUCACUGCCUGGGGGGAGCGACCACCACCAAGCUAAGAAAACAGACUAUGUGAGUAAGAUCUGAUCCCCCUUUAGAGGAUUCAACUGACAACAAUGUCACAAUUUAACUCUAACUAGUUCUUUAUACUAGUUUCAUAAUUGCAUUUCUCGAUGCUAACCAAAUCUCUAGUCAUGAUGUCACCAAGUUUACUAUUGUCUUGGUCCUUUACAGUUUCAUACAUUCAUAGGGUUCUAUGUCCACAUUCUAAUGUUCAUAUGUUCUUACUAUCAAUAAGAAUUCACACGUUCAAUAUCACUUGCAUAAUGCCAAUGCCCAUACCCUAUAAUGCAUGAAUACAGAAGUAAAUAUGCUCAAUGAAUAGCAUAGACAUAAAAGGUGAUUCAAAGACUUCGGAUAGCACCACCCACCUGUAGUGGUGUCAAUCAACUAGAAUCCACGUCUCGGAAAGCGUCGACGACUAUCUCUCGCGACUCCGUGCAAAUAGGACUAGAGCGGUCUCUACCGUAAUUAGCGUGUCGUCGACCUGUCGGAAAGUCAAUUUAGACUCUUGGGCAUGUUUACUUUUCACUUAUAAAGGAUUAGAAAAGAUUAAACUAGAGUCAUUACUCAUAAUUGACAAGUUAGCAUUUCAAUGCUAUAUAAAGCGGCAACUAUAGCCGAAAACCUUCUUUUGGCGAUAUCUUUGCGUAGGUUCGUCGGAUUGCCGAACCGACUUCGCCAACGCGUUUCUUUUACCCUCAAUUUGGUUUACACGCGGUCAAUUUCGCAUUAGGACUCUUAUUUUGCAAAAGUGCAUUGUCGGGGUCAAAAUCAAACUAUCGAGCAAUUCAACUUUUAUUUCAUUCCAUCUCUCUUUCUUUUCUUUCUUUUCUUUCUUCUCUUUCCUUCUUUCUUUCUUUCUUUCCUUUCUUUCUUUCUUUUCGUUUCUUCUCUUGCUGCCCCUGCAGGGCAGCUGCUGCUGCUGUCACUGUUGCCACUGCUGCUGCUGCUGCUAGCUGCAGCUGCUCCUGUUGCACUGCUGCUGCUGCUGGCGCAUGCUGCUGCUGCUGCUGCUGGCAGCAGCUGGCUGAGCUGCUGCUGCUAAUGCUGCUUGCUGCUGCUGCUGAUGCUGCUUGCUGCUGCUGCUACUCUAGCAGCUGCUGCUGUUGACAGCCUAGCAGCAGCUUGGCUAAGCUGCUGCUGAUGCUGAAGUUACUGCUGCAGCAGGGAGAGAGAUGAGAGGGAGAAAGAGAGAGCAAAGAGAGAAAGAGAGGAAAAUUUCUUACUUUUCUUUUCUUUUUCUCCUUCUUCAUCAGCUUCUUCUUCUCUUCUUUUCUCCUUCUCUCUCUUUAUACGUAUGCUCGCUGAGGAGAGGGUGCAGAGGGGAUAAGGAUGGAGGGUAUUACAUGGCUGCAGGUUAGUGGAAUUCCACUAACUGGUUCAAUUUACCAAAAUGCCCUUCGACUUAAUCCGUUUAGCGACACGGAUCAAAUACCUUCCGUAAGCCCUUCCGACAGUCCGAUUGAGCUCAAAUUUGGCAGGAAUGAUCGUUUUUACUUAACAAGUCCACUGAAAUUUUAACAUUUCAGUUUCGACCCCGUUUGGUCACUGCGAACUGUCCCGAACUGUAAUCUUUAUCCGAUAACUUCCAAAUGCUAUUUCUCUCUCUACAGGUGUCAGAAUAAUCUGAAACUUUAAAUCUAGCCUCAUACAAAUAUUCCUCACAUCUCCGCCAAUUUUCAUAAUUUUCUGACACUGUGCAUUUUCUGCUAAUUUUUCAGUCCCAUUCUUUACAGAAAAUUUCAAAUCUUCUGUUUUUGCUCCGAUUUCAACACGAACACUUCCAAAACAUGCCAAGGGACUNAUUCACUAAAUUGAUCCAUAACUUAAGCAACAAUCACCUAUUUAGCAUCAUAGGAUUCCAAUAAAUCCAUUUCUAUGAAUUAUAAAUAAAGCUUUGGAGAUCUACCAUUAAAGGGUAGCAAAAGCUUACCUCAAAACUUGCUUCAAACGAUGGAGAAGAUGAAGCGGACGAGGGCGAUCCACCUCCAAGCUGAAAAAGUAUGAAUUUUGGCUUCGAGAGGUAGCUUUCCUUGGACAUUUGAUAUCGGGAUCGGGUAUAGCCGUGGAUCCUAAGAAGAUUGAAGCUAUCAAGGAUUGGCCGAGCCCGACGAGCAUCACGGAGAUUCAGAGUUUCCUUGGAUUGGCCGGUUACUACCGGAGAUUUGUCGAGGGGUUUGCUAAGCUGUCUACUCCCCUCACGAGGUUCACGCAUAAAGGUGUCAAGUUCAUUUGGAAUGAUGCGUGUGAAGGAAGCUUCCAAGAGUUGAAGCAGAGAUUGACUACCGCCCCGAUCCUAACCCUGCCGGUUGCUGGAGUAGGGUAUGUGGUUUAUAGUGAUGUUUCACUUAAUGGAUUGGGUUGUGUAUUGAUGCAGGAUCGCAAGAUGAUCGCUUAUACUUCUCGCCAACUGAAGAAAUAUGAAAAGAACUACCCUACGCAUGAUUUGGAGUUGGCGGCCAUAGUCUUCGCAUUGAAGUUAUGGCGCCACUACUUAUAUGGCGAGUGGUGCAAGGUAUACACGGAUCACAAGAGCUUGAAGUAUUUGUUCACUCAGAAUGAGUUGAACUUGAGACAACGCAGAUGAUUGGAGCUGCUCAAGGAUUAUAAUCUGACAAUCCUUUACCACCCGGGCAAGGCUAACGUGGUGGCGGAUGCGCUAAGUAGGAAAUCGACGGAAAACUUAGCAAUGCAUGUUGUUACUCAACCGUAGUUGAUCGAGCAGAUGAAGUGGUUGGAGUUGGAGGUGGUGACUCUAGACACACCUUUGAGGCUGAUGACCUUGGUUGUGCAACCUACUCUUUUGGAUAGAAUUAAAGAAAAACAAGCUUCCGAUGCGGAGUUGCAAAAGAUUAGAGAUAAAAUGGUUGAUGGUUGCAUCGGCGAAUUCCUUGUGGAUGACUAAGGAUUGAUGCGGUUUUGUGGACCUAUGUGUACCGGCAGAUGCUGAAAUUAAAGAGGAUAUUCUUCAAGAAGCACACCGGGCACCUUAUGCUAUACAUCCGGGAGGCACCAAAAUGUAUAAGGACUUGAAGUUGCUUUAAUGGUGGCCUGGGAUGAAGAAGGACGUUGGCGAGUUUGUAGCUCAUUGUCUAACUUGCCAACAGGUAAAGGCUGAGCACCGAUUGACCGCGGGGAAGCUUCAGAGUUUGCUUAUUCCCGUGUGGAAGUGGGAGAAGAUCACCAUGGACUUCAUGACUGGAUUGCCUCGCUCACAGACCGGACAUGAUGCUAUUUGGGUGAUCGUGGAUAGGUUGACGAAGUCGGCGCACUUCAUACCUAUUCAUACUACUUGGACUGGGGAGAUGCUCGCACAAGUGUACCUUGACGAGAUUGUGUGACUUCAUGGAGUACCUACAUUGAUCGUAUCAGAUCGAAACACACGAUUUGUGUCUCACUUUUGGAGGAGUCUGCAUGACGCCCUAGGCACUUGUUUGGACUUUAGCACUGCUUUCCACCCUCAGAGUGACGGGCAGUCGGAGCGCACUAUUCUGACUUUAGAGGAUAUGCUCCGGGCAUGUGUGAUUGACUUCCAGGGAGGAUGGUCGCAGCAUCUACCGAUGGCGGAAUUUGCUUAUAACAACAAUUAUCAAGCAAGCAUCAAGAUGGCGCCGUUCGAAGUACUUUAUGGACGAAAAUGUAGAUCGCCGCUUUAUUGGAGUGAAGUAGGCGAGAGAUUGGCUUUAGGUCCUGAUGUGCUCCAGGAAGUUGACGACAAGAUUCGAAUUGCUCGGGAGCGACUUUUGACGGCGCAGAGUAGACAGAGGAGCUACUGUAACAUACCAGAUUUUAGUAUAAAAAUAAAAAUAAAUAAAAAUAGUGUGAGAAACUAUUUUUAUUUAAUUUAGAGAAGUAAAAUAUAAGUCAGAAGUGACUUGUGCUGAAAUCGGAAUGAAAACAGGAGAUUUAGAAUUUUCUGUUGGAAACAGGACAGAUAAAUUAACAGAAGAUGCACAGUGUCAGAAAAUUAUAAAAACUGGAGGAUAAGUCAGAAUUAUUUUUAUGAGGCUAGAUUUAAAGUUUCAUAUCAUUCUGACACCCGGAAGGUGAAAAAUAAAAUCCGAAAGCUAUCUGAUAAAGAUUACAGUUCGGUACAGUUUUCGGUGACCAAACAGGGUCGAAACUGAGAUAUUAAAAUUUCUUUGGACUCGUUAAGUAAAACCGAACAUAAAUGUCAAAUUUGAGCUCAAACAGAUAUUCAGGAAGCUCCGGCGAAAGAUAUUAGAUUUUGAGCUGCCUGGAGUGAAUAGUGUUUUGAGGGUGUUAAUGUAUAAAGAAGCUUUGCUUCUUCUCCCUCAACCGACCAGCACACACGCCACACACACACACGCAUGGAGAAGGGAGAGAGAAACCCUCCUUUCUCUCUCUAGAUUUCUCUUAUCUCUCUAAAUCUCUAUCUAAAAAUUGGAGGGUUGGUGGAGAGCGAGCUUGCAAACGUGUUGGAGGCGUCGGUUCAAGUUCUCGUGCGGCCGUUGGAGCGGCAUUCACAUUGUGGUAAGCUUUUGGGAUUUGGCUUAAUCCUUAGCUUUAAGUGUUCUAAUAGCCUCUAAUGAGCAUUGUUAGCAUGUUGCUCCAUUUAAUUUGGAUUAUUUGGAGGUUAAUUACAUAUUAGGGCUCCGAAUGGGAUUUUGUAAAAUAGUAGAGUUUGAUCUCAUUUGACCCUCCGUAAACCUAAUUGCUAGGUAAACGAACGCGUUGGCGAAGUCGGUUCGGCGAUUCGUCGAGCCUACGCGAAGUUAUUAAAGAAACGGACGUUUAGACUUUGUUUCCGCCUGGAGGGCCGAGGCGACAUCGUAAAGUCAUGAAAAUGGAUAUGGAGCACCGUGGCACAUAAUCGAAGACCUAUAAUUUUUGGCGCUGCGAUUCGACCCACGGUUGGUGAGUAUUAGCGAAAUCCGGCCGAACCGGACACGGGUGCCGCGGGAGGCCGAUUGCAAGUGUCGACAAGCAAUCAGAAAGCGAUUUGAGGUCGGUUGUGUUUACCAAAGCGACUAGGU